rnacentral:rRNA from 1 species
UACGUAGGGUCCGAGCGUUGUCCGGAAUUAUUGGGCGUAAAGAGCUCGUAGGCGGUUUGCGCGUCUGCUGUGAAAUCCCGAGGCUCAACCUCGGGCCUGCAGUGGGUACGGGCAGACUGGAGUGCGGUAGGGGAGAAUGGAAUUCCUGGUGUAGCGGUGGAAUGCGCAGAUAUCAGGAGGAACACCAAUAGCGAAGGCAGCUCGCUGGGACGGUACUGACGCUGAGGCGCGAAAGCGUGGGGAGCGAACAGG